rnacentral:rRNA from 1 species
GUGGGGAAUUUUGGACAAUGGGCGCAAGCCUGAUCCAGCAAUGCCGCGUGCAGGAAGAAGGCCUUCGGGUUGUAAACUGCUUUUGUACGGAACGAAAAGGCUCUGGUUAAUACCUGGGGCUCAUGACGGUACCGUAAGAAUAAGCACCGGCUAACUACGUGCCAGCAGCCGCGGUAAUACGUAGGGUGCAAGCGUUAAUCGGAAUUACUGGGCGUAAAGCGUGCGCAGGCGGUUUUGUAAGACAGACGUGAAAUCCCCGGGCUCAACCUGGGAAUGGCGUUUGUGACUGCAUUGCUGGAGUGCGGCAGAGGGGGAUGGAAUUCCGCGUGUAGCAGUGAAAUGCGUAGAUAUGCGGAGGAACACCGAUGGCGAAGGCAAUCCCCUGGGCCUGCACUGACGCUCAUGCACGAAAGCGUGGGGAGCAAACAGGAUUAGAAACCCUGGUAGUCC